rnacentral:rRNA from 1 species
GACGAACGCUGGCGUCGUGCUUAACACAUGCAAGUCGAACGGAAAGGCCCUGCUUUUGUGGGGUGCUCGAGUGGCGAACGGGUGAGUAACACGUGAGUAACCUGCCCUUGACUUUGGGAUAACUUCAGGAAACUGGGGCUAAUACCGGAUAGGAGCUCCUGCUGCAUGGUGGGGGUUGGAAAGUUUCGGCGGUUGGGGAUGGACUCGCGGCUUAUCAGCUUGUUGGUGGGGUAGUGGCUUACCAAGGCUUUGACGGGUAGCCGGCCUGAGAGGGUGACCGGCCACAUUGGGACUGAGAUACGGCCCAGACUCCUACGGGAGGCAGCAGUGGGGAAUAUUGCACAAUGGGCGGAAGCCUGAUGCAGCAACGCCGCGUGCGGGAUGACGGCCUUCGGGUUGUAAACCGCUUUCGCCUGUGACGAAGCGUGAGUGACGGUAAUGGGUAAAGAAGCACCGGCUAACUACGUGCCAGCAGCCGCGGUGAUACGUAGGGUGCGAGCGUUGUCCGGAUUUAUUGGGCGUAAAGGGCUCGUAGGUGGUUGAUCGCGUCGGAAGUGUAAUCUUGGGGCUUAACCCUGAGCGUGCUUUCGAUACGGGUUGACUUGAGGAAGGUAGGGGAGAAUGGAGUUCCUGGUGGAGCGGUGGAAUGCGCAGAUAUCAGGAGGAACACCAGUGGCGAAGGCGGUUCUCUGGGCCUUUCCUGACGCUGAGGAGCGAAAGCGUGGGGAGCGAACAGGCUUAGAUACCCUGGUAGUCCACGCUGUAAACGGUGGGUACUAGGUGUGGGGUCCAUUCCACGGGUUCCGUGCCGUAGCUAACGCUUUAAGUACCCCGCCUGGGGAGUACGGCCGCAAGGCUAAAACUCAAAGGAAUUGACGGGGCCCCGCACAAGCGGCGGAGCAUGCGGAUUAAUUCGAUGCAACGCGUAGAACCUUACCUGGGUUUGACAUGGAUCGGGAGCGCUCAGAGAUGGGUGUGCCUCUUUUGGGGUCGGUUCACAGGUGGUGCAUGGCUGUCGUCAGCUCGUGUCGUGAGAUGUUGGGUUAAGUCCCGCAACGAGCGCAACCCUUGUUCACUGUUGCCAGCACGUUAUGGUGGGGACUCAGUGGAGACCGCCGGGGUCAACUCGGAGGAAGGUGGGGAUGACGUCAAGUCAUCAUGCCCCUUAUGUCCAGGGCUUCACGCAUGCUACAAUGGCUGGUACAGAGAGUGGCGAGCCUGUGAGGGUGAGCGAAUCUCGGAAAGCCGGUCUCAGUUCGGAUUGGGGUCUGCAACUCGACCUCAUGAAGUCGGAGUCGCUAGUAAUCGCAGAUCAGCAACGCUGCGGUGAAUACGUUCCCGGG